rnacentral:lncRNA from 1 species
UGGUGCUUGUGCAAGAUGUGGAAGUCUCAGCUACCUCUCCAGCACCAUGUUGGCCUGCUCAUCUCCAGUCCCUCCACAAUGACCGAAUCUCUGAACUGUCUGCACUUGGCAGCCAUGCCAACAGACACCCAAGGAUAGAAUGAAGACUGGGGCUUUGUGCCUUUGAUCCAUCAAAUGUGCUCUUGAAGAUUGGCUUGUCUCUGGGAAAGAGUACAGGAGCCCAGAGCCCAAAUGGCAUAGGCUCAGGAGGGCAAGGGAUCCCGGGGAAGAGCCUAAGAAGAUGGAAGCCUAAGAAGGUUGCUAACUCAUCUGAGAAAUGGGCUUCAUCAAAGAGGGUUCCUGGGAAUUGUAACCUGCCUUUGGGGAAAGGCUGGCCCGGUAACUGCGGCGGUGUUGGAUCAACAGACGCUAAACGUUUAUUUACAAGGAAGGUGCCCUAUCUGUGAUUACCGGGCACUGCUUCUUCAUAGCCGUGCCGUGUCCAUGCCCAAUGCUCCCUUCUCAGGGAGAGGAUACAUUUCAACAUAAUUAAAAGUUGAGAACUGUUUCCUGGACUUCCAGUAUAUCCAGUUACCACAUGGCUUUGUUUCAGCAAAUCCAAUGGUUAUCAGAAAUUUAUAGGGGGGGAGACGAUUAGCAG